UACGUAGGGUGCAGGCGUUAAUCGGAAUUACUGGGCGUAAAGCGUGCGCAGGCGGUCUCUUAAGACAGAUGUGAAAUCCCCAGGCUCAACCUGGGAACUGCGUCUGAUACUGGAUGGCUUGAAUCCGGGAGAGGGAUGCAGAAUUCCAGGUGUAGCGGUGAAAUGCGUAGAUAUCUGGAGGAAUACCGGUGGCGAAGGCGGCAUCCUGGACCGGCAUUGACGCUGAGGAGCGAAAGCCAGGGGAGCAAACGGG
rnacentral:rRNA from 1 species